GGGGGUGUUAUUGGAUUCGACAGGCAUGCCCCGAAGUUCAACUACAUUUCGAAGAGACAGCUUCGUAAAAAUGUCACAGUAAAUCUAACUGACAAACAAGAUAACCAAACUUUAGCUUUCGCUGCCUAAAAACAGUGAGCUAAGAUCCGCCUAGCAUCGCCCAUGUGUUAGUUCCGGGUCCUAUUGCAGUGGGAUACGUCUGAAGCUUCCGCCUGGAGCAACAGAAAGAGAUUAAUCAGGCAAGCAAUCUAGACGGGUUUGUUUAUUCGCCCCUAGUGCGCUAAUAAGCAAUAAACUAUGAGUGUAAAAGUUGGACAUUCGGAAUGUCUGGACAGGGGUUCAAAUCCCCUCACCUCCAUAA
rnacentral:tmRNA from 2 species